AAUAUUGGACAAUGGGCGAAAGCCUGAUCCAGCCAUGCCGCGUGUGUGAAGAAGGNCUNNGGAUUNUNAAGCACUUUAAGUUGNNNNNAAGGGCAGUAAGUUAAUACCUUGCUGUUUUGACGUUACCGACAGAAUAAGCACCGGCUAACUUCGUUCCAGCAGCCGCGGUAAUACGAAGGGUGCAAGCGUUAAUCGGAAUUACUGGGCGUAAGGCGCGCGUAGGUGGUUUGUUAAGUUGGAAGUGAAAGCCCCGGGCUUAACCUGGGAACUGCUUUCAUAACUGCUGAGCUAGAGUACGGUAGAGGGUAGUGGAAUUUCCUGUGUAGCGGUGAAAUGCGUAGAUAUAGGAAGGAACACUAGUGGCGAAGGCGACUACCUGGACUGAUACUGACACUGAGGUGCGAAAGCGUGGGGAGCAAAC
rnacentral:rRNA from 1 species